rnacentral:rRNA from 1 species
AGUCUUAGGAUAAUUGAUCUAAGAUUAAACCUGCCCAAUGUUUAUCUCAUGAAUGGCCGCGGUACCUUGACCGUGCUAAGGUAGCACAAUAAAUUGGCCUUUAAAUGAGGCCAUGUAUGAAUGGAAUCACGGAGCUUGGCUGUCUCUAAAAUUAAUUUAUUGAAAUUACUAUUCAGGUGAAAAAGCCUGUUUUAAGAAAAAGGACGAGAAGACCCUUAGAGCUUUACUAAAAUUAAAAAUUUUUUAAGACAGUUUUGUUGGGGCAACAUAGGAACAUUAAAAUUUCCUUAAAUUAAAUCUACCGAUAUUUAUAAAUUUGAAUAAGCUACCUUAGGGAUAACAGCAAAAUUUUAUAAUUUAGUUUGUGACCUCGAUGUUGGACUAGGAAACUAGUAGGUUAGCCGCUUAUUAGAUAAGUUCUGUUCGAACUGUAAUUUCCUA